rnacentral:rRNA from 1 species
UGCCCUAGUAACGGCGAGUGAAGCGGCAACAGCUCAAAUUUGAAAUCUGGCCUCCCUUGGGGGUCCGAGUUGUAAUUUGCAGAGGGUGCUUUGGCGUCGGCAGCGGUCUAAGUUCCUUGGAACAGGACAUCACAGAGGGUGAGAAUCCCGUACGUGGUCGCCUGCCUUCGCCGUGUAAAGCCCCUUCGACGAGUCGAGUUGUUUGGGAAUGCAGCUCUAAAUGGGAGGUAAAUUUCUUCUAAAGCUAAAUACCGGCCAGAGACCGAUAGCGCACAAGUAGAGUGAUCGAAAGAUGAAAAGCACUUUGGAAAGAGAGUCAAACAGCACGUGAAAUUGUUGAAAGGGAAGCGCUUGCAGCCAGACUUGCUCGUAGUUGCUCAUCCGGGUCCGCCCGGAGCACUCUUCUGCGAGCAGGCCAGCAUCAGUUUGGGCGACCGGAUAAAGGCCUCUGUCAUGUACCUUCCCUCGGGAAGGCCUUAUAGGGGAGGCGUAAUGCGGCCAGCCCGGACUGAGGUCCGCGCAUCUGCUAGGAUGCUGGCGUAAUGGCUGUAAGCGGCCCGUCUUGAAACACGGACCAAGGAGUCUAACAUCUAUGCGAGUGUUUGGGUGUCAAGCCCGGGCGCGUAAUGAAAGUGAACGGAGGUGGGAACCCUCUCCGGGGGGUGCACCAUCGACCGAUCCUGAUGUCUUCGGAUGGAUUUGAGUAAGAGCAUAGCUGUUGGGACCCGAAAGAUGGUGAACUAUGCUUGAAUAGGGUGAAGCCAGAGGAAACUCUGGUGGAGGCUCGCAGCGGUUCUGACGUGCAAAUCGAUCGUCAAAUUUGGGCAUAGGGGCGAAAGACUAAUCGAACUAUC